ACGGGUGAGUAACGCGUGGAUCAUCUGCCUUUGGGUGGGGGAUAACCCGGGGAAACUCGGGCUAAUACCGCAUAAAACCGCGAGGUCAAAGGGGGCCGCAAGGCUCUCGCCGAAAGAGGAGUCCGCGUCCGAUUAGCUAGUUGGCAGGGUAAUGGCCUACCAAGGCGACGAUCGGUAGCCGGCCUGAGAGGGUGAUCGGCCACACUGGAACUGAGACACGGUCCAGACUCCUACGGGAGGCAGCAGUGGGGAAUUUUGCGCAAUGGGCGAAAGCCUGACGCAGCAACGCCGCGUGGAGGAUGAAGGUCUUCGGAUUGUAAACUCCUGUCAGUGGGGAAAAAGGGGAACGGGCUCAUACCCCGUUUCAUUGAUUGUACCCGCAGAGGAAGCCCCGGCUAACUCUGUGCCAGCAGCCGCGGUAAUACAGAGGGGGCAAGCGUUAUUCGGAAUUAUUGGGCGUAAAGGGCGCGUAGGCGGUCGUUCAAGUGGUAGGUGAAAUCCCUCGGCUCAACCGAGGAGCUGCCCGCCAAACUGAACGACUUGAGUCCGGGAGAGGUGAGUGGAAUUCCCAGUGUAGCGGUGAAA
rnacentral:rRNA from 1 species